rnacentral:rRNA from 1 species
CGUAUAUUAACGUUGUUGCAGUUAAAAAGCUCGUAGUUGGAUUUGUGGUUCGUUGCGCGGUCCCAAUAUUAUGUUGGGUGCUGUCGCGAGGAGCCAUCCUUGGGUGGAAUCUGUGUGGCAUUAGGUUGUCGCGCAGGGGAUGCCCAUCGUUUACUGUGAAAAAAUUAGAGUGUUCAAAGCAGGCUUAUGCCGUUGAAUAUAUUAGCAUGGAAUAAUGAGAUAGGACCUUGGCACUAUUUUGUUGGUUUGCGCACCGAGGUAAUGAUUAAUAGGGACAGUUGGGGG